rnacentral:miRNA from 1 species
GCACCCCUGGGGGACUGAUGGGUAGUCACUACCGCCGGCUAACUCAGCUGCUCCCAAAG